rnacentral:rRNA from 1 species
AACGAACGCUGGCGGCAGGCUUAACACAUGCAAGUCGAACGCACCUUUCGGGGUGAGUGGCAGACGGGUGAGUAACGCGUGGGAAUCUACCCUUCUCUACGGGAUAGCUCCGGGAAACUGGAAUUAAUACCGUAUACGUCCUGAGGGAGAAAGAUUUAUCGGGGAAGGAUGAGCCCGCGUUGGAUUAGCUAGUUGGUGGGGUAAAGGCCUACCAAGGCGACGAUCCAUAGCUGGUCUAAGAGGAUGAUCAGCCACAUUGGGACUGAGACACGGCCCAAACUCCUACGGGAGGCAGCAGUGGGGAAUAUUGGACAAUGGGCGCAAGCCUGAUCCAGCCAUGCCGCGUGAGUGAUGAAGGCCCUAGGGUUGUAAAGCUCUUUCAGUGGGGACGAUAAUGACGGUACCCACAGAAGAAGCCCCGGCUAACUUCGUGCCAGCCGCCGCGGUAA